AUCAGCCUUUCGGGUGCGAUUCUGUGGAGUGUGAGGAGCUUAACACCUUCAUGCUUUGCAUAUUUGUGCUCUUGGGUGUACUUGCCCGUGUGGUUGGUUAACAUCAAUUUUGGUGGUCAUAAAAUGACUGGAGGAAUGUAGCUUCGAUCUCGUAUUGAAGUGUUAUAGCCUUCGGUAGAUGUGAUGAUCGAGAUUGAGGAUUGCAACGGAUACCCUUCGGGGCUACCUGUCUGGUCUCUGAUCGUUGCUCUGGUGCCGAAAGCUUGCUUACGGUUAUCAAAGUCGAUGGUCAAUAGGUUAGAACGGGUUAAAUUCGUUAAGGAUGCUGGCGUAAUGGCUUU
rnacentral:rRNA from 1 species